rnacentral:snRNA from 2 species
UCACUUACCUGGACGGGGUCAAUGGGUGAUCAAGAAGGUCCAUGGCCUAGGUUGGUGACUUCCAUUGCACUUAGGAGGGGUGCUUGCCUAAGGUCGGCCCAAGUGGUCGAGCCUACGUCAUAAUUUGUGGCAGUGGAGGCCUGCGUUCGCGCGGCCUCUGC